GAUGAACGCUGGCGGCGUGCCUAAUACAUGCAAGUCGAGCGAAUGGAUUAAGAGCUUGCUCUUAUGAAGUUAGCGGCGGACGGGUGAGUAACACGUGGGUGACCUGCCCAUAAGACUGGGAUAACUCCGGGAAACCGGGGCUAAUACCGGAUAACAUUUUGAACCGCAUGGUUCGAAAUUGAAAGGCGGCUUCGGCUGUCACUUAUGGAUGGACACUCUUCGCAUUAGCUAGUUGGUGAGGUAACGGCUCACCAAGGCAACGAUGCGUAGCCGACCUGAGAGGGUGAUCGGCCACACUGGGACUGAGACACGGCCCAGACUCCUACGGGAGGCAGCAGUAGGGAAUCUUCCGCAAUGGACGAAAGUCUGACGGAGCAACGCCGCGUGAGUGAUGAAGGCUUUCGGGUCGUAAAACUCUGUUGUUAGGGAAGAACAAGUGCUAGUUGAAUAAGCUGGCACCUUGACGGUACCUAACCAGAAAGCCACGGCUAACUACGUGCCAGCCGCCGCGGUAA
rnacentral:rRNA from 1 species